CUACCGACGUGAGGGUCAAGUGGCGCUGAACUGCGACCGCUAGUGGGGGGUGUCUAUUCCCCCCGCGACACUGCCAAAUUGCGGGAACCUCCUAAAGCCUCUGCUACCGCGGCUCACCGAAAGGUUGAGUGCAGCACCAGGGUAAUGACCUCGGGGAUGGUAACAACGUAGAGGAUGCAACAAUGGACGAUCCGCAGCCAAGCUCUACGCCCAGGAGACCCCUGGGUAUGGGUGCAGUUCAACGACUAGAUGGUAGUGGGCUUCCCGGUGACCGCUGGGGGGCUUAAGAUAUAGUCUGAUGACCGGCUGAAAGGCCUGG
rfam:Talaromyces stipitatus ATCC 10500 scf_1107713415789 genomic scaffold, whole genome shotgun sequence.